UUGUGCUCGUGCCAUUGCGUGAAAACUACCAACAUUGCCAACACUGGGAUGUAAUGUUAUUUAACGUCCCGUGAGACAAUUAAGUUACCACUGUAACAGAUGUUCUUUAUAAUAUUCUGGUGAUCACUGUAUAGUUUAGAACAAUUAUGCUAAGACCUGUGACUUUCGGUCUAUUCUUGUUUUUCCUUCCCCUGGUAUAUACUAUGCAGGAUGUGGAGAGAGAUCAGACCAAAAUUAAAAUCUUAAAAAACUUGAAAGUUUUGGAUUUCGAGGAUUUUCAUAACAUAGUCUCGUGGUUUUCAAUAAACAGUCAUGAAAAAAGCGCUUACUGUCUGAAUAUUUAUAUUGGGAUGGAUAUUUAUUUUGCACUCUGGGAAGAAAGUAUAAUAGUGGACAAUGUGUUAAAGCUAGCACCUUUUUCUGCAGAUAUAACGACUAAAUGUAUAUUUAUUUUCUCAAAACAGGGCGCUGACUUGGAACAUGUGAUACAGCUGGGAUAUUUUCCAACCAUCUUCUUUAGCCUUCAACAAGAUGAUUACCAACCUAAUCUCC